CACGUAGGGGGCAAGCGUUGUCCGGAUUUAUUGGGCGUAAAGAGCUCGUAGGUGGUUCGGUAAGUCGGGUGUUAAACCCCCAGGCUCAACCUGGGGACGCCACUCGAUACUGCUGUGACUAGAGUCCGGCAGGGGAGCGUGGAAUUCCUGGUGUAGCGGUGAAAUGCGCAGAUAUCAGGAGGAACACCAGCGGCGAAGGCGGCGCUCUGGGCCGGUACUGACACUGAGGAGCGAAAGCGUGGGUAGCAAACAGG
rnacentral:rRNA from 1 species